GGGGCUAUAAUGCAGUAGAGGACAGAGAGGAGCUUGCUCCUCUGACGUUAGCGGCGGACGGGUGAGUAACACGUGGAUAACCUACCUAUAAGACUGGGAUAACUUCGGGAAACCGGGAGUAAUACCGGAUAAUAUAUUGAACCGCAUGGUUCAAUAGUGAAAGACGGUUUUGCUGUCACUUAUAGAUGGAUCCGCGCCGCAUUAGCUAGUUGGUAAGGUAACGGCUUACCAAAGCAACGAUGCGUAGCCGACCUGAGAGGGUGAUCGGCCACACUGGAACUGAGACACGGUCCAGACUCCUACGGGAGGCAGCAGUAGGGAAUCUUCCGCAAUGGGCGAAAGCCUGACGGAGCAACGCCGCGUGAAUGAUGAAGGUCUUCGGAUCGUAAAACUCUGUUAUUAGGGAAGAACAAAUGUGUAAGUAACUAUGCACGUCUUGACGGUACCUAAUCAGAAAGCCACGGCUAACUACGUGCCAGCAGCCGCGG
rnacentral:rRNA from 1 species